rnacentral:rRNA from 1 species
GAUCAUGGCUCGGGAUGAACGCUAGCUACAGGCUUAACACAUGCAAGUCGAGGGGCAGCAUGAACUUAGUCUUGCUAAGUUUGAUGGCGACCGGCGCACGGGUGAGUAACACGUAUCCAACCUUCCGUUUACUCAGGGAUAGCCUUUCGAAAGAAAGAUUAAUACCUGAUAGUAUGGUGAGAUUGCAUGAUAACACCAUUAAAGAUUUAUUGGUAAACGAUGGGGAUGCGUUCCAUUAGGUAG